GCGGUGGGGUUGGAGGAAGGAAGAAGAAAGCAAGACGAAAGGAUAUAAUCAGAGAGAUAUUUUUAGAGCAUCGCCAUUAAAAUUUGAGAGGUAUGUGGACGCCACGUGUCGGAUUUUUAGCGGGAAAAGGCAGGACUGUCUGACAGGCUGGCGAAGAAGAACACGUGGCGGGGUGAUUUUCCCGUCCCCACGAAUCUCUCUUUCCACGUUAAAAUCUCAUGCCGCGAGAUCAGCUUAACCAUGUAGACUAUGAACACAUGUAUAUCGUUUUUAUGGGUCCCACUCUGAUGACACGUGAUGAUAUGACAGCUAAGGACGCCAACUUUUUUGAUUGGUUAUGACACGCUGUCAGACACGUGGCUGGUUUUGUUUGGAUAAGACGGGGUAAGAGUACGGUGACGAAUAAUUCUGUGGGGUUCUUUUUCUUCAACGCGGCGCGUGGAACUAUCUUGUUUAGGUGCCACGUGACUUCAUAAGAGACGUGGACAAAGGAUGUGGAUUCGACGGUGCUGGAGUGGCCACGUCGAUUUCCGUUUUUUCUUUUCUUCUUCGUAUUUCGAGUUAUUUCUUUUCCUAAA